UACAGAGGUCCCAAGCGUUGUUCGGAUUCACUGGGCGUAAAGGGUGCGUAGGCGGUCGGGUAAGUCUGACGUGAAAUCUUCAAGCUUAACUUGGAAACUGCGUCGGAUACUAUUCGGCUGGAGGAAUGGAGGGGAGACUGGAAUACUUGGUGUAGCAGUGAAAUGCGUAGAUAUCAAGUGGAACACCGGUGGCGAAGGCGAGUCUCUGGACAUUUCCUGACGCUGAGGCACGAAAGCCAGGGGAGCAAACGGG
rnacentral:rRNA from 1 species